GCCAAUGCAUUGGAUUGCGUAACUACCGUUUUUUCUUUUGCUUUGUCUCUUCUGCUAUGCUGCUAUGCAUCUAUGUGUUUGCAAUAUGUGCUCUGUACAUCAAGGUGCUAAUGGAUAAUAAUCAAAGCACAGUCUUGAAGGCACUGAAAGAGUCACCAGCAUCCGUGGUUCUAAUGGCUUAUUGUUUUAUUUCCCUGUGGUUUGUUGGUGGACUCACUGGCUUUCACUUGUAUCUAAUAAGCACCAAUCAGACAACCUAUGAAAAUUUCCGCUAUAAAGCAGAAAACAGGAUCAAUGUCUAUGACCUUGGUUGUGUGAACAACUUCAUGGAAGUAUUUUGCACAAAAGUAAAACCAUCACGGAACAACUUCCGAGCUAAUGUACAAGAGGAAGAACCACGACCUCCUUUGCCCACUACCAGGGAAGCUGAAGUCGAAAUGGGUGAGGAUCAACGAGUGAAAGUAGAAGAUGAUCUUGAAUUUGGUGGAGACCUUCUAAAGAUCUCACAGCGUCAUAAUAUUGAAGACAUUGAAGCAGAGAUACGAAGCCGAGAGAGUGAUGUGCACCACCAUAAUUCGUCUGAGGCUGAUUCUGUUCUUGGGUCAGAUAGGCGAGCCCCCAAUGUGCAAGCAGACAUACGAAAUUCAAGCUGGGGAAGGAGAAGUAGGAG
rnacentral:misc_RNA from 1 species